rnacentral:rRNA from 1 species
UACGUAGGGGGCGAGCGUUGUCCGAAGUUACUGGGCGUAAAGCGCGCGUAGGCGGGGGGUUAAGUGAGAGGUGAAAGGCUGGGGCUCAACCUCAUGCAGUGCCUCCCAUACUGGCCUUCUUGAGGGCGGUAGGGAGAAGUGGAAUGGCUGGUGUAGCGGUGAAAUGCGUAGAUAUCAGUCGGAACACCGGUGGCGAAGGCGGCUUCUUGGGCCGUUCCUGACGCUGAUGCGCGAAAGCUGGGGGAGCGAACGGG